AACUGCUCUGUUAGGAGAAAACUUCCUGGGCAGUCACAGCCACAAAGUCAAACAGAAAACUAGGGACUUUCCAAAAAAGGCAGUGGUGUUAGUGCAGCCAGACAGCAGUGUCUUCAUUUCGCUUUCGCAUUUACCCCGAUGGGAAAGGGUCCUCUGUCUCCACACUUCCUCUUGGCCAUUCCUCGCCGGAACGCUCUGCUGUGUUGAACUUGCGCACCAAAGGCCAGGCAGAUCAGCAGGCGCCUGACACACAGCCAACACCUCAGGAUGGCUAUGCUCUCUGAAAUAAUCAUUUUUGGAGCAGUGCUCGCUGUCUGUGUUAUCACACUCUGUGUGAACAUAAGUGUUUCCGCUGAGGUCAAUGUGAAUGUCAGAAGUGACUUUCGAGGAUUCCCACCCGACUCCAAGCCCCCUACAUACAAAAAAUGAGAUCAAAUAUGCAGAUCAGCAAAAAGAAGACCUGCCUCUUCUCUGCCUCCAUAACCUGAUUCCUUUCUUUCCUGACAAGCUGAGGGCAAGGUCUCCCCCAGCUCACACCCUGCACUGCACCCUUGGAUUCAGCCCAAUGAGUCACACUGUUUUUCUGCUAAAGGGAGAGGGAUCUUACAUUAAUUUUAGCACCAAGGUCCUCCUUAACAAGUGUGUUCCUGAAUACUUAUGGGGGGACAUCUUUGUGCAGGCUUUGUGCACACAUGUGUCUGUAAUUCUCUGCCAUGGGCUUAUGGGUGAGGGGGAAAAUAUCUAGGCACCCAUCUUCUUCUUUCAAUCAUUGAUUAAUAAAUAUGGAUUAAGUA